rnacentral:rRNA from 1 species
CUUUGGGGGGGUUCUUUUUUCGGAUCCCGGGCUUAAGGGGCGCGUAGGCGGCCCAUGCCGUCGGCUCGUGACCAUGGAAAAAAAAGCACCGGAGGUGCGGCCGAGACCCAUGGGCUCCCAUUACGGAAGAGGAGGGUGGAAUACCCAGUGUAGAGGUGAAAUUCGUAGAUAUUGGGUGGAACACCGGUGUUUCAUAGCGGCUCUCUGGUCCGGUCCUGACGCUGAGGCGCGAAAGCGUGGGGAGCAAACUGGAUUAUAUACCCUGGUAGUCCACCCCCUAAACGAUGUGGGCUAGACGUCGGGGGGCAUGCCCCUCGGUGUUGCA